rnacentral:lncRNA from 1 species
CGCAGCAACCUCAACCUCAUAAUCCUGAAAAUAAUCUCUAACCACAUGAACAAAUCUAGGGCUAGCACAACCCUAACAAUUCCAGACAAACAAAUUUAGAAAAAUCAUAAAAGAUAGUUACAAGAAAGUACCGAGAAAGGCUUAUAACUCAGCAGAGGUAGCUUCAAUACCCUUCACUUCCAUUGACUCCAUAAGAUCCUCAACAAUCAAAUUUGACUUUAAAGUAUCAAGACUAUAAUUCAUAGACUCAGAAAUAGGAAGUUUAGAAAGCCC